GGCAGAUGGUCUACUUCAACCCACCCAGGUUGCCAAGUGUCCUCGUGCAUGCUCAAGACUCUGGGCAGCACCCCGGAUGCGGACACCAGCCACCUGGGAGCCUGAGGGGAGCAUUUCGCUACUGUUUUCAGGGAAAGGAGCAAGAGAGCUACUUGGAGUUAUCUGGGUCUCAGGUAAAGAGGCUGAGAUGGAGCCCAACUGUCCUGGCACUGGGUUCAGUGACCGCCCCAGGCCACCGUGAUGACCCCAGGUGGCAUCUGCCUCCUCUUUCCAACCAAAGGGAGAGUGGAACGCAGGUCCACCUGCCCCUGCCCGCACCUCCGAAGUCUCCCCUGUGGUGAAUUCACAGGGCGGGGUGGGUGGCCAGCAUCAGCGCCGUCUUCCCAUGCUCCUCACCAUAGGCACCACCCUUCAACCUGCCCUAAGCCAUGCAGGCAAGGUUGUCCAAGACCCGGGGAACACAGCCCCACACCUCGAGCAGAGGGGGCGGCCAGGCAGGGAGCCUCGGAGGACAGGAAGCAGCAGGACGCUGGCCCUAGGCUCCCCAUCCCUCCUGGCUGCUCCCCCUGACCUGGCACUUUGCCUUGUCUCAACAGGGAUACUUAGCUGACCCAGAUGGUAAUUACAGAGUCCAGACAUGUCAAACUCUCUAGGGUAUUGUGAGCAGGUGUGUCCUGACUUUGGUUCCCCACAACAGGACUUCUGCCCUCCCUCUUUGAUACCAUAAGACUUAGUGGGGUGAGCACUGAUAGAAUCACCGCAGCCCGAACUUGAAGCAG